ACUCAAAUGAAUUGACGGGGGCCCGCACAAGCGGUGGAGCAUGUGGUUUAAUUCGACGCAACGCGAAGAACCUUACCUGGGCUCGAACGGCUUCAGACCAUCUUUGGAAACAGAGACUUCCCGCAAGGGACUGGAGUCGAGGUGCUGCAUGGCUGUCGUCAGCUCGUGUCGUGAGAUGUUGGGUUAAGUCCCGCAACGAGCGCAACCCUUGUCCUGUGUUGCAACCCGCAAGGGGCACUCUCAGGAGACCGCCAGCGAUAAGUUGGAGGAAGGUGGGGAUGACGUCAAGUCAUCAUGGCCUUUAUGUCCAGGGCUACACACGUGCUACAAUGGGCGGUACAAAGCGCAGCGAAGCCGCGAGGUGAAGCAAAUCGCAAAAAACCGUUCUCAGUUCGGAUCGCAGGCUGCAACUCGCCUGCGUGAAGCUGGAAUCGCUAGUAAUGGCGUAUCAGAACGACGCCGUGAAUACGUUCCCGGGCCUUGCACACACCGCCCGU
rnacentral:rRNA from 1 species